rnacentral:rRNA from 1 species
GACGAACGCUGGCGGCGUGCUUAACACAUGCAAGUCGAACGGAAAGGCCCUGCUUUUGUGGGGUGCUCGAGUGGCGAACGGGUGAGUAACACGUGAGUAACCUGCCCUUGACUUUGGGAUAACUUCAGGAAACUGGGGCUAAUACCGGCUGGGAGCUCCUGCUGCAUGGUGGGGGUUGGAAAGUUUCGGCGGUUGGGGAUGGACUCGCGGCUUAUCAGCUUGUUGGUGGGGUAGUGGCUUACCAAGGCUUUGACGGGUAGCCGGCCUGAGAGGGUGACCGGCCACAUUGGGACUGAGAUACGGCCCAGACUCCUACGGGAGGCAGCAGUGGGGAAUAUUGCACAAUGGGCGGAAGCCUGAUGCAGCAACGCCGCGUGCGGGAUGACGGCCUUCGGGUUGUAAACCGCUUUCGCCUGUGACGAAGCGUGAGUGACGGUAAUGGGUAAAGAAGCACCGGCUAACUACGUG